rnacentral:rRNA from 1 species
AAGAGCUCCUAUCGACAAGCGGGUUUACGACCUCGAUGUUGGAUCAGGGUAUCCCAGUGGUGCAGCCGCUACUAAAGGUUCGUUUGUUCAACGAUUAAAACCCUACGUGAUCUGAGUUCAGACCGGAGUAAUCCAGGUCAGUUUCUAUCUAUAAAGGGCUUUUUCUAGUACGAAAGGACCGAAAAAGCAUGGCCUAUGUAUUAUGCAAGCCAAAUUCAUUAAUUUAUGAUUUAAACUUAAUAAACAAUUAACCUACAAUUAAACUCUAAACAAGAGU